UACGGGGGGAGCAAACGUUGUUCGGAAUCACUGGGCGUAAAGGGCGUGUAGGCGGCUGAAUAAGUGGGAUGUUAAAUCCCCCGGCUCAACCGGGGACCUGCAUCUCAUACUGUUCAGCUCGAGCACAUCAGAGGAGACUGGAAUUCCCGGUGUAGCGGUGAAAUGCGUAGAUAUCGGGAGAAACACCAGUGGCGAAGGCGAGUCUCUGGGAUGAUGCUGACGCUGAGGCGCGAAAGCCAGGGGAGCAAACGGG
rnacentral:rRNA from 1 species